rnacentral:misc_RNA from 1 species
UUGCCAUCAACCCCCUG